CAGUGUUCUGCUUUACGCGUCGGUGCUUACGGCUGCUACAAUGGAAGAAGCCUUGGAUGAUGCUGCCUCCUCCGCUGAGCUCAAUGGCGUCGUCUUGGCUUCCGGCGAAUCCGAUCGGCGAGCAUACGCCGGCUUUUGGCCUUACUCUCGGACUUGCCUGCCGGUGAUGAGCCAUCGACUGCGUCUUCCAAUUCUGAGACCGCAAAGGAACGAGAUGGCGUAGUGACAUAAGUAGUAUUGAUGGUUGUAAUAAUUCUGUGCAGCGAGUGCUGCACAACGUUUCAUGUGUUUUGGAUGUGUGCAUAGCUUGUACAAAUUUUUAUAGCAUCAAAUAAGGAACAAAAUCUCAAUUACAGAAACA